UGCAGUCGAGCGAGAAGGCCUUCGGGCUGAGUACAGCGGCGGACGGGUGAGUAACGCGUAGGAAUCUACCUGGUAGUGGGGGACAACAUGGGGAAACUCAUGCUAAUACCGCAUACGCCCUAUGGGGGAAAGCGGGGGACCUUCGGGCCUCGCGCUAUCAGAUGAGCCUGCGUAGGAUUAGCUUGUUGGUGAGGUAAAGGCUCACCAAGGCGACGAUCCUUAGCUGGUCUGAGAGGAUGAUCAGCCACACUGGAACUGAGACACGGUCCAGACUCCUACGGGAGGCAGCAGUGGGGAAUAUUGCGCAAUGGGCGAAAGCCUGACGCAGCCAUGCCGCGUGUGUGAAGAAGGCCUUAGGGUUGUAAAGCACUUUCAAUUGGGAAGAAAGGUUGCGUGUUAAUAGCACGUAGCUGUGACGUUACCUUUAGAAGAAGCACCGGCUAACUCCGUGCCAGCAGCCGCGGUAAUACGGAGGGUGCGAGCGUUAAUCGGAAUUACUGGGCGUAAAGCGCGCGUAGGCGGUUUGUUAAGUCGGAUGUGAAAGCCCCGGGCUCAACCUGGGAAUUGCCUUCGAUACUGGCCGACUAGAGUACGAGAGAGGGAGGUAGAAUUCCACGUGUAGCGGUGAAAUGCGUAGAUAUGUGGAGGAAUACCGGUGGCGAAGGCGGCCUCCUGGCUCGAUACUGACGCUGAGGUGCGAAAGCGUGGGUAGCAAACAGGAUUAGAUACCCUGGUAGUCCACGCCGUAAACGAUGUCUACUAGCCGUUGGGAGACUUGAUUUCUUAGUGGCGCAGCUAACGCACUAAGUAGACCGCCUGGGGAGUACGGCCGCAAGGUUAAAACUCAAAUGAAUUGACGGGGGCCCGCACAAGCGGUGGAGCAUGUGGUUUAAUUCGAUGCAACGCGAAGAACCUUACCAGGUCUU
rnacentral:rRNA from 1 species